rnacentral:rRNA from 1 species
ACCCAGACUCCUACGGGAGGCAGCAGUGGGGAAUAUUGCACAAUGGGGGGAACCCUGAUGCAGCGACGCCGCGUGGGCGAGGAAGUAUUUCGGUAUGUAAAGCCCUAUCGGCAGGGAAGAAGAAAUGACGGUACCUGAAUAAGAAGCACCGGCUAAAUACGUGCCAGCAGCCGCGGUAAUACGGAGGGGGCGGGCGUUAAUCGGAAUUACUGGGCGUAAAGCGCUCGUAGGCGGUAUGUCAAGUCAAGGGGGAAAUCCCCGCGCUCAACGUGGGAACUGCCUUUGAAACUGGCAAACUGGAGUGUGUGAGAGGAUAGUGGAAUUCCAGGUGUAGGAGUGAAAUCCGUAGAUAUCUGGAGGAACAUCAGUGGCGAAGGCGACUAUCUGGCACAUAACUGACGCUGAGGAGCGAAAGCGUGGGUAGCAAACAGGAUUAGAUACCCGUGUA